rnacentral:rRNA from 2 species
GCGUGCCUAAUACAUGCAAGUCGAGCGGACAGAAGGGAGCUUGCUCCCGGAAGUCAGCGGCGGACGGGUGAGUAACACGUAGGUAACCUGCCCCUUAGACUGGGAUAACUCCGGGAAACCGGAGCUAAUACGGGAUAAUAAAGAGAAUCACCUGAUUCUCUUUUGAAAGACGGUUUCGGCUGUCACUAAGGGAUGGGCCUGCGGCGCAUUAGCUAGUUGGUAAGGUAACGGCUUACCAAGGCGACGAUGCGUAGCCGACCUGAGAGGGUGAUCGGCCACACUGGGNNNGAGACACGGCCCAGACUCCUACGGGAGGCAGCAGUAGGGAAUCUUCCGCAAUGGACGAAAGUCUGACGGAGCAACGCCGCGUGAGUGAGGAAGGCCUUCGGGUCGUAAAGCUCUGUUGUGAGGGAAGAACAAGUACCGGCGUAACUACCGGUACCUUGACGGUACCUCACCAGAAAGCC